AGUGCAGCUUAGCUUCCUGGAUUCAGCGGCGGACGGGUGCUGUAAUUGCCUAGGAAUCUGCCUGGUAGUGGGGGAUAACGUCCGGAAACGGGCGCUAAUACCGCAUACGUCCUGAGGGAGAAAGUGGGGGAUCUUCGGACCUCACGCUAUCAGAUGAGCCUAGGUCGGAUUAGCUAGUUGGUGGGGUAAAGGCCUACCAAGGCGACGAUCCGUAACUGGUCUGAGAGGAUGAUCAGUCACACUGGAACUGAGACACGGUCCAGACUCCUACGGGAGGCAGCAGUGGGGAAUAUUGGACAAUGGGCGAAAGCCUGAUCCAGCCAUGCCGCGUGUGUGAAGAAGGUCUUCGGAUUGUAAAGCACUUUAAGUUGGGAGGAAGGGCAGUAAGUUAAUACCUUGCUGUUUUGACGUUACCAACAGAAUAAGCACCGGCUAACUUCGUGCCAGCAGCCGCGGUAAUACGAAGGGUGCAAGCGUUAAUCGGAAUUACUGGGCGUAAAGCGCGCGUAGGUGGUUCAGCAAGUUGGAUGUGAAAUCCCCGGGCUCAACCUGGGAACUGCAUCCAAAACUACUGAGCUAGAGUACGGUAGAGGGUGGUGGAAUUUCCUGUGUAGCGGUGAAAUGCGUAGAUAUAGGAAGGAACACCAGUGGCGAAGGCGACCACCUGGACUGAUACUGACACUGAGGUGCGAAAGCGUGGGGAGCAAACAGGAUUAGAUACCCUGGUAGUCCACGCCGUAACGAUGUCGACUAGCCGUUGGGAUCCUUGAGAUCUUAGUGGCGCAGCUAACGCGAUAAGUCGACCGCCUGGGGAGUACGGGCCGCAAGGGUUAAAACUCAAUGAAUUUGA
rnacentral:rRNA from 1 species